rnacentral:rRNA from 1 species
UCCAGACUCCUACGGGAGGCAGCAGUCGGGAAUAUUGCGCAAUGGAGGAAACUCUGACGCAGUGACGCCGCGUGCAGGAAGAAGGUUUUCGGAUUGUAAACUGCUUUAGACAGGGAAGAAACAAGACAGUACCUGUAGAAUAAGCCCCGGCUAACUACGUGCCAGCAGCCGCGGUAAUACGUAGGGGGCAAGCGUUAUCCGGAAUUAUUGGGCGUAAAGAGUACGUAGGUGGCAACCUAAGCGCAGGGUUUAAGGCAAUGGCUCAACCAUUGUUCGCCCUGCGAACUGGGAUGCUUGAGUGCAGGAGAGGAAAGCGGAAUUCCUAGUGUAGCGGUGAAAUGCGUAGAUAUUAGGAGGAACACCAGUGGCGAAGGCGGCUUUCUGGACUGUAACUGACACUGAGGUACGAAAGCGUGGGGAGCAAACAGGAUUAGAUACCCCCGUA